rnacentral:rRNA from 1 species
GACGAACGCUGGCGGCGUGCUUAACACAUGCAAGUCGAACAGAAAGGCCCUGCUUUUGUGGGGUGCUCGAGUGGCGAACGGGUGAGUAACACGUGAGUAACCUGCCCUUGACUUUGGGAUAACUUCAGGAAACUGGGGCUAAUACCGGAUAGGAGCUCCUGCUGCAUGGUUGGGGUUGGAAAGUUUCGGCGGUUGGGGAUGGACUCGCGGCUUAUCAGCUUGUUGGUGGGGUAGUGGCUUACCAAGGCUUUGACGGGUAGCCGGCCUGAGAGGGUGACCGGCCACAUUGGGACUGAGAUACGGCCCAGACUCCUACGGGAGGCAGCAGUGGGGAAUAUUGCACAAUGGGCGGAAGCCUGAUGCAGCAACGCCGCGUGCGGGAUGACGGCCUUCGGGUUGUAAACCGCUUUCGCCUGUGACGAAGCGUGAGUGACGGUAAUGGGUAAAGAAGCACCGGCUAACUACGUG